GGGGGUGUAGCUCAAUUGGCAGAGCACCUGCUUUGCAAGCAGGAGGUCCUCGGUUCGAACCCGUGCGCCUCCACCA
rnacentral:tRNA from 2 species